UUAAGCGACUAAGCGUACACGGUGGAUGCCCUGGCAGUCAGAGGCGAUGAAGGACGUGCUAAUCUGCGAAAAGCGUCGGUAAGGUGAUAUGAACCGUUAUAACCGGCGAUGUCCGAAUGGGGAAACCCAGUGCAAUUCGUUGCACUAUCGUUAACUGAAUACAUAGGUUAACGAGGCGAACCGGGGAACUGAAACAUCUAAGUACCCCGAGGAAAAGAAAUCAACCGAGAUUCCCCCAGUAGCGGCGAGCGAACGGGGAGCAGCCCAGAGUCUGAAUCAGCUUGUGUGUUAGUGGAACGGUCUGGAAAGUCCGACGGUACAGGGUGAUAGUCCCGUACACCAAAAUGCACAGGCUGUGAACUCGAAGAGUAGGGCGGGACACGUGGUAUCCUGUCUGAAUAUGGGGGGACCAUCCUCCAAGGCUAAAAUACUCCUGACUGACCGAUAGUGAACCAGUACCGUGAGGGAAAGGCGAAAAGAACCCCGGCGAGGGGAGUGAAAAAGAACCUGAAACCGUGUACGUACAAGCAGUGGGGAGCACCUUCGGGUGUGACUGCGUACCUUUUGUAUAAUGGGUCAGCGACUUAUAUUCUGUAGCAAGGUUAACCGUAUAGGGGAGCCGCAGGGAAACCGAGUCUUAACUGGGCGUUAAGUUGCAGGGUAUAGACCCGAAACCCGGUGAUCUAGCCAUGGGCAGGUUGAAGGGUUGGGUAACACUAACUGGAGGACCGAACCGACUAAAUGUUGAAAAAAUUAGCGGAUGACUUGUGGCUGGGGGUGAAAGGCCAAUCAAACCGGGAGAUAGCUGGUUCUCCCCGAAAGCUAUUUAGGUAGCGCCUCGUGAAUUCAUCUUCGGGGGUAGAGCACUGUUUCGGCUAGGGGGUCAUCCCGACUUACCAACCCGAUGCAAACUACGAAUACCGAAGAAUGUUAUCACGGGAGACACACGGCGGGUGCUAACGUCCGUCGUGAAGAGGGAAACAACCCAGACCGCCAGCUAAGGUCCCAAAGUCAUGGUUAAGUGGGAAACGAUGUGGGAAGGCACAGACAGCCAGGAUGUUGGCUUAGAAGCAGCCAUCAUUUAAAGAAAGCGUAAUAGCUCACUGGUCGAGUCGGCCUGCGCGGAAGAUGUAACGGGGCUAAACCAUGCACCGAAGCUGCGGCAGCGACACUAUGUGUUGUUGGGUAGGGGAGCGUUCUGUAAGCCUGCGAAGGUGACCUGUGAGGGUUGCUGGAGGUAUCAGAAGUGCGAAUGCUGACAUAAGUAACGAUAAAGCGGGUGAAAAGCCCGCUCGCCGGAAGACCAAGGGUUCCUGUCCAACGUUAAUCGGGGCAGGGUGAGUCGACCCCUAAGGCGAGGCCGAAAGGCGUAGUCGAUGGGAAACAGGUUAAUAUUCCUGUACUUGGUGUUACUGCGAAGGGGGGGACGGAGAAGGCUAUGUUAGCCGGGCGACGGUUGUCCCGGUUUAAGCAUGUAGGCUGGUUAUCCAGGCAAAUCCGGAUAAUCAAGGCUGAGGUGUGAUGACGAGGCACUACGGUGCUGAAGUAACAAAUGCCCUGCUUCCAGGAAAAGCCUCUAAGCAUCAGGUAACAUUAAAUCGUACCCCAAACCGACACAGGUGGUCAGGUAGAGAAUAUCAAGGCGCUUGAGAGAACUCGGGUGAAGGAACUAGGCAAAAUGGUGCCGUAACUUCGGGAGAAGGCACGCUGGUGUGUAGGUGAAGUCCCUGCGGAUGGAGCUGAGACCAGUCGAAGAUACCAGCUGGCUGCAACUGUUUAUUAAAAACACAGCACUGUGCAAACACGAAAGUGGACGUAUACGGUGUGACGCCUGCCCGGUGCCGGAAGGUUAAUUGAUGGGGUUAUCCGUAAGGAGAAGCUCUUGAUCGAAGCCCCGGUAAACGGCGGCCGUAACUAUAACGGUCCUAAGGUAGCGAAAUUCCUUGUCGGGUAAGUUCCGACCUGCACGAAUGGCGUAAUGAUGGCCAGGCUGUCUCCACCCGAGACUCAGUGAAAUUGAACUCGCUGUGAAGAUGCAGUGUACCCGCGGCAAGACGGAAAGACCCCGUGAACCUUUACUAUAGCUUGACACUGAACAUUGAGCCUUGAUGUGUAGGAUAGGUGGGAGGCUUUGAAGCGUGGACGCCAGUCUGCGUGGAGCCAACCUUGAAAUACCACCCUUUAAUGUUUGAUGUUCUAACGUUGGCCCCUGACCGGGGUUGCGGACAGUGUCUGGUGGGUAGUUUGACUGGGGCGGUCUCCUCCCAAAGCGUAACGGAGGAGCACGAAGGUUAGCUAAUCCUGGUCGGACAUCAGGAGGUUAGUGCAAUGGCAUAAGCUAGCUUGACUGCGAGCGUGACGGCGCGAGCAGGUGCGAAAGCAGGUCAUAGUGAUCCGGUGGUUCUGAAUGGAAGGGCCAUCGCUCAACGGAUAAAAGGUACUCCGGGGAUAACAGGCUGAUACCGCCCAAGAGUUCAUAUCGACGGCGGUGUUUGGCACCUCGAUGUCGGCUCAUCACAUCCUGGGGCUGAAGUAGGUCCCAAGGGUAUGGCUGUUCGCCAUUUAAAGUGGUACGCGAGCUGGGUUUAGAACGUCGUGAGACAGUUCGGUCCCUAUCUGCCGUGGGCGCUGGAGAAUUGAGGGGGGCUGCUCCUAGUACGAGAGGACCGGAGUGGACGCAUCACUGGUGUUCGGGUUGUCAUGCCAAUGGCACUGCCCGGUAGCUAAAUGCGGAAGAGAUAAGUGCUGAAAGCAUCUAAGCACGAAACUUGCCCCGAGAUGAGUUCUCCCUGAGACUUUAAGUCUCCUGAAGGAACGUUGAAGACGAUGACGUUGAUAGGCCGGGUGUGUAAGCGCAGCGAUGCGUUGAGCUAACCGGUACUAAUGAACCGUGAGGCUUAACCUU
rnacentral:rRNA from 1 species